CGCAUGCACGGUUCUCUGUUGGUUUUUAUUUCCCAGCUGGUUCCCAGCCCCGUAACAGAUCGUGGAGGCGGUUUUUAAUUUCUCGCGAAUUCACCUGCCGCCAUCGACGCUCUGGUGAGGCGGGGCUUCCCUCGCGCCGUCCCGGCGAAGCCCUGCGCCGCCGGCUUCCGUGCCGCCCCGGCGGGCUGCAGCCGCCGUUCGGAAAUGUACCCCCGUCUGCCCGAAUUGGCCUCCCACCGGCUACCUUCUGGUGAGGCAGGGCUCCCCCUCGCCGACCCGGCGGGGCCUUGCGCCGCCGGCUCCUGUGCCACCCCGGCGAGGCCCUGCUCCACUAGCUCCCGUGCCGCCAUAACGAGGCCAUGCGCCACUGAAGACCCCUUCCCGGCGACACCGGAUCCCGCGGCGGCGGCGCGUGCACCGACCGGAUCCGGCGUCGGCGCCCGCGGAUCGAGAGGCAGAGGCGCGGAUCGAGAGCAGCAGCGCCAAGGCUCCCAGAUCCCGGCGGCGGCGGCACCUUGGAGCGCGGCGACAGCGGAGGCGUGCGACGGCGGCGAGGACCCAGCGGCGUGCGACGGGGCAGGGCUCCUGGCAACACGCGGUGAUCCCCGGCACCCAGCGGCGAGGACCCCGGCUUCCCUGGCGUCGGCCGCUGCCCCCUGGAUCUCGGCGGCGCGCGUCGCACCUUGCAGGCUGACGGCGGGCCAUGCAGGCUGCACCGAGCGGCUGCGACGGCCCCUGCAGCAGACGACGCGAAGCUGCAGCCGCCGGCCAACGCGGCCACUCCGGCGCCGGUGUCGCCGACCCGGUGGGGCCUUGCGCCGCCGGCUCCUGUGCCACCCCGGCGAGGCCCUGCUCCACCAGCUCCCGUGCCGCCAUAGUGAGGCCAUGCGCCGCUGAAGACCCCCUCCCCCCAUCUCGGCAAUGGCAUUGGGAACUAUCGGCAUGCUCCACUCUCAUGGACAGAACUGACACUAUACAGGCGCGCAGAUGAAGGUGCAUAAAGUGCAUCCCUACAUCGCAGCUUUGUCCCUGGCCUGAUUCAUUCAGAUAGAUCUUGCUGCAAUUGAGAUCGAGUACACAUGCAGUAAUGAAGCUAACUGCUGGUGCUGGUACCAUGGUGUGGAUAUCUAUCAUCUGGGAAGAUUGGCUAGAAGUAGAAGUAUCUUGUGCUAUGCUGCCUUUUGUUUAGGUGCCAUGGUGCUCGUCGGCAAGCUUGGCUAGGCAUCAAAGGUGAACUCUAUUCUUUUGUUGAGGCAAAGUUGGGAUCUUGAGCUGGAUCUUUAGCCCUGCUAUUUGCGAGCCUUCGAUUCGUGUUGACUUUUUUUCCUUCUUAACAAGCAUUUUUAGUUGGCAAUUUACUAUAGGAUAUUAAGGUACCCCUGAUUGAGUUCAGAUCUUCCUAGAAGGAACAAAAAUGGUUUCUUUAUUUUUGUUACUCCUUGCUCAUUCCAACUUCUGUUCGAUAAUGUUUUAUAGCUUUAUGAAGUCAAUCUAUAAAAAUGAUGCCAUCAUGUUCAAGUGUUUUUUUUUUUGUUGUUGUUGUUUUCAAGAUUUGAGGUGGACACCAUGAUCUCCACUGACAGUGCCAUCUUUUGGCAGUACACCCAUCACCAUUAGAUGUUUAGGGAAAAUUUCCCUUGAUCAUCACUUGAUGGAUUUCUCGCAGAGAGCAUCUGUUGUACAAUAGAUUCUGAGUUUUAUGAGAGGAUGGUAUAUUAUAGAGCUUUGUAUAGAUCCUUAUGAAAAUGUAAGUUCGGAGUGGCAGAUAACACAAAUAUGACUCCACCUUGUGUGUUUAUGGUAAUUAUGUACCGUCUCGGAAAGAAUUGUGUGGU